UACGUAGGGUGCGAGCGUUAAUCGGAAUUACUGGGCGUAAAGCGUGCGCAGGCGGUUUGUUAAGACAGGUGUGAAAGCCCCGGGCUCAACCUGGGAAUUGCGAUGGAGACUGCAAGGCUUGAAUCUGGCAGAGGGGGGUAGAAUUCCACGUGUAGCAGUGAAAUGCGUAGAGAUGUGGAGGAACACCGAUGGCGAAGGCAGCCCCCUGGGUCAAGAUUGACGCUCAUGCACGAAAGCGUGGGGAGCAAACAGG
rnacentral:rRNA from 1 species